CCCACUUGCUGUAAAAGGCUCACUGUGUGUCGCGUUGUACACAACAACCUCCACACCCCACCACUCCCUCAUUCAACUGUCUGGGGGUUUGUUUCCUUUGAUUUAACCUCGGAAGAAUGUAAUUUCACACCAAUGAAAGGAAAGUGUUCUUUUAAGGGAAGGAAAAAAAACACAAGAAGAGUGAUGCUGGGUCAAAGGAGCGGGAAUGUCUGCGCUUGUUCCCGUGUGACAUCUGAUGGAGCCUGGAUUUUUUUGCCGUUGUUGUUGUUGCUGUAUUUCGAUGAUGGGUUGUCCCGAGAAGGAAAAGGAACGUGUUAACAGGCGCAUUGGACGAGUGCCCGCACUGUGGAAUUGGGCGUGAGAAUGAAGCUAGCUAGUGAGCUAGAGCCGCCUGAUCUAAUCAGUUAGUCAACAAAGCAAGCAGGAUGGCGCCGCAGGAUUGUCACUACUCGAGAGUUUAUAGAAAGCUUUUGCUGCCGUGUCUAACAAAAACAAAACAAAACGACACACCGAAAUCUCUCCACCACCUGCAAGGGACGAUCUUUCAGCAACAUCCUUCUGUUGAACCUUGGAACAGACUUGCUGAUUUUGGCUCUCUUUCUUUUUAUCAAAAGCGACAAAACGAACACCGGUAAACCACAACGGACCGAAAACGGAUGCCACCGUUGUUGCACACGUGUACAGUUUGAGUUAGUUGAUAAGCUUUUAAAUUGAGAUAGGACAUGAAGGGAGGGGGUACUACCAGCAGACGAACAGGAAAUAGAUAGGGAAAGGGGCUUGCCUGGCUGCUCGCCUUAGCGUUCUCCUCUCCUUUAGUAGGUAUUCUUCGUUCCGCUUUUUUUGUUUUUGCUUUCCCUCUCAUUGCUGAAGCUUUUAUUUUGUAUGAGUUUUUACGUUUUUACUAUUACUAGCCCUCAGAAUACAAUUAAGUGAUCUGCGUGUCUGCAAAACAAUACUGGGCCGCUUGUAUGUAAUCCGUGCCGGAGAUAUCGUGUAAGUGUAAGCGCAGCGUACCACCAAAGAUUUUUAUACGCAAAAACGGACGACAUUCGUUACGCGCGUUGCUUUGCGCAAAUAGAAGAUUGAAUUGUUUUCUCAAAACAGAGCUUACAAAGCUCUACACUGAACCCCACUACUAAACCCAAACCCGCUUUAGGCAGCAAAAGGGUUUUUUAAAGGUUUAUUUACUCUAUAAUAUUCUCACAUUGCUUAGACUUCCCAUUUAACAACGCGCAAUAGACACUUUUGUUUCAUUUAUUUUUAAUUCAGGAAAUUCAGGUGGUUGUCAUAAUUUUAGAGACACAACACACAACAUUCCCGACUCCAAUUAGCUGCAAUAGAAAGCUGUGUAAAUCACAGCACAUCCUUGUACCAUUUUGCUUUUAAGCGUAACAUACACAUCCACACAGUGCAAUAGAGAGACAGAGAGAGCUAGAAACAUCCAUACAGUAGUGAAGAAACAGAAUCAACAAUGCCACAACAAUGAAACAAUACAACAAAAUCAAUCAUAUCACGAAAUAAAAUAAGAAAUAGGAAAGAGAGAGAAAGAGAGAGAAAGAAACAAACAAACAAGUAAUAGUAAACAAAAACACAAUAACAUACACACGAAAUACUCCCUUAGGGCCAGUCAGUUGCACAAUAGAAAAUAAGUGAAACAACAAGACUCAGAGAGAAAGAGAGAGAGAGAGACAG